ACAUGGCGAAACCCUGGCUCUACAAAAAAUGCAAAAAUGAGCUAGAUAUGGUCAUAUGUGUCUGUAAUCCUAGCCACACAAGGAGGCUGAGGUGGGAGGAUUGCUUGAGCCUGGGAGGCAAAGGUUGCAGUGACCCGAGAUGGCGCCACUGCACUCCAGCCUGGGUGACAGCGGAAACCCUGUCUAAAAAAAAAAAAAACAAUGAGAUGAGGUACUGGAAUCUGGUUUUCUCACCAUGGAAGACCCAGCAUUGGACCAAUGAGAAUAAGGUUUCACCUUUUGUUUUUCUCUAUUCUUUAGUUAUAGGUAUGGACACAGUAAGAGUCCUCAUUUCAGAGAGAAGAGCCCAGUCAGGGAGCCAAUUGAUAAUCUGAGUCCUGAGGAGCGUGAUGCCCGCACAGUUUUCUGUAUGCAGUUAGCUGCCCGAAUUCGGCCUCGAGAUCUGGAGGACUUUUUCUCUGCUGUAGGCAAGGUUCGCGAUGUACGUAUCAUCUCAGAUCGGAACUCACGUCGUUCUAAGGGCAUUGCCUACGUGGAAUUCUGUGAAAUCCAGUCUGUGCCACUGGCCAUUGGGCUGACUGGGCAGCGGUUGCUGGGAGUGCCUAUCAUUGUACAGGCUUCACAG
rnacentral:sRNA from 1 species